UCUGGCUCUUCCGGAGUCCGAGUUGUAAUUUGUAGAAGAUGCUUUGGGAGGUAGGGCCGGCCUAAGUUCCUUGGAACAGGACAUCAGAGAGGGUGAGAAUCCCGUAUGUGGCCGUGGCCUACGCCCGUGUAAAGCUCUUUCGACGAGUCGAGUUGUUUGGGAAUGCAGCUCAAAAUGGGUGGUAAAUUUCAUCUAAAGCUAAAUAUUGGCCAGAGACCGAUAGCGCACAAGUAGAGUGAUCGAAAGAUGAAAAGCACUUUGGAAAGAGAGUUAAACAGUACGUGAAAUUGUUGAAAGGGAAGCGCUUGCAACCAGACUUGGGCGUCGUCGAUCAUCCGGGGUUCUCCUCGGUGCACUCGACGAGGCACAGGCCAGCAUCGGUUUGGAUGGUUGGAGAAAGGCCCUAGGAACGUAGCUCUCUUCGGGGAGUGUUAUAGCCUAGAGCGCAAUGCAGCCCAUCCGGACCGAGGACCGCGCCUUUGGCUAGGAUGCUGGCGUAAUGGUUGCAAGCGACCCGUCUUGAAACACGGACCAAGG
rnacentral:rRNA from 1 species